GAUGAACGCUGGCGGCGUGCCUAACACAUGCAAGUCGAACGGACAGGCCAUGCUCUUGCUGCUUGCACGAUUGCCGCACGGGUGAGUAAAACACGAGUAUCAUGUCCCUGUAUUACGGAUAUCUUCAGGAAACUCGGGCUAUUAUCGGAUAUAAUCUCUUGCACCGCGUUGGGCAAUGGUAAGUUUCGGCGGUUGUGGAUGGUAUAGCUGCUUCUCCGCUUGUUGGUGGGGUUGGUGAUUACAAAGGUUACGACGGGUAGCCGGCCUGAGAGGGUGGCCGGCGACCUGGGGACUGAGAGACGGAGCAGACGGCUACGGGAGGCAGCAGUGGGGAAUAUUGCACAAUGGGCGGGAGCCUGUGGCAGCAACGCCGCGUGCGGGAUGACGGCCUUCGGGGUAUAAACCGCUGUCGCCUGUGACGAGGCGGGAGUGACGGUAAUGGGUAAAGAAGCACCGGCUAACUACGUG
rnacentral:rRNA from 1 species